GCGGACGUGGCUCAGCGUAGAGCAUCGCCUUGCCAAGGCGAGGGUCGCGGGUUCGAUUCCCGUCGUCCGCUCCA
rnacentral:tRNA from 1 species